rnacentral:rRNA from 1 species
AUUGAACGCUGGCGGCAGGCCUAACACAUGCAAGUCGGACGGUAGCACAGAGGAGCUUGCUCCUUGGGUGACGAGUGGCGGACGGGUGAGUAAUGUCUGGGGAUCUGACCGAUAGAGGGGGAUAACCACUGGAAACGGUGGCUAAUACCGCAUAACGUCGCAAGACCAAAGAGGGGGACCUUCGGGCCUCUCACUAUCGGAUGAACCCAGAUGGGAUUAGCUAGUAUGCGGGGUAAUGGACCACCUAGGCGACGAUCCCUAGCUGGUCUGAGAGGAUGGCCAGCCACACUGGAGCUGAGGCAAGGUCCAGACUCCUACGGGAGGCAGCAGUGGGGAAUAUUGCACAAUGGGCGCAAGCCUGAUGCAGCCAUGCCGCGUGUAUGAAGAAGGCCUUCGGGUUGUAAAGUACUUUCAGCGGGGAGGAAGGCGGUGAGGUUAAUAACCUUGCCGAUUGACGUUACCCGCAGAAGAAGCACCGGCUAACUCCGUGCCAGCAGCCGCAGUAA